AGACGGGGACCCGCACAAGCGGUGAGCAUGUGUUAAUUCGAUGCAACGCGAAGAACCUUACCAGGUCUUGACAUCCCGAUGCUAUUUCUAGAGAUAGAAAGUUACUUCGGUACAUCGGUGACAGGUGGUGCAUGGUUGUCGUCAGCUCGUGUCGUGAGAUGUUGGGUUAAGUCCCGCAACGAGCGCAACCCCUAUUGUUAGUUGCCAUCAUUCAGUUGGGCACUCUAGCGAGACUGCCGGUAAUAAACCGGAGGAAGGUGGGAUGACGUCAAAUCAUCAUGCCCCUUAUGACCUGGGCUACACACGUGCUACAAUGGUUGGUACAACGAGUUGCGAGUCGGUGACGGCGAGCUAAUCUCUUAAAGCCAAUCUCAGUUCGGAUUGUAGGCUGCAACUCGCCUACAUGAAGUCGGAAUCGCUAGUAAUCGCGGAUCAGCACGCCGCGGCGAAUACGUUCCCGGGCCUU
rnacentral:rRNA from 1 species